ensembl:lncRNA novel transcript
GUCCACUGGGCAAUGAUCAGCAAUUCUGACUUCAAGAUCCAAUCACCCAGUGAAAGCUACAAGAGAACUCAGUACAAGGCUUUCUUGGUUGUGCUGUCUUUCUGAGGCAACGUGGAGUCUACCAGUCACGGACAAAGGACUCUCUGAAGUCAGUCCCAGCACACCUGCACCAAAUAUCAGGAGGAAGGCAGAUGAAUACUUAAAGUCCAACAUGUCCCCCAACAAUGUGCUGAGUUUUUUACUCGGUAGACAACUGGGGAGGCACAGAAAUGAUGUGGAUCUGACAAAGUGGUUGUGGAUGCUGACACGAGCAAUGCCAGGGUGGAGCUGGCCUUUGCCAAAAAAAAUCACGUGACUUACAAGCACAUGCCUACACAGAAUCUUGGAAAAUAAUUUUUUUUAAAAAGUAUUAGAAUAAAAUUCUUCCCUAGCUUCAGCUAUUGAAAUA